ACUUGACCUCAGGGCCCACUUGGGUCUCUUCCAAGUGUACUUUCCUUCGUUUCCUGUUCUAAAGCAUUAAAUAAACUUACUCCCGCUCUGAAACUUGCCUUUGCCUCUUUUUCUGCGUAAUGCCACUCUGUCGAAUUCUUUCUCCAGAAGAGGCAAGAAUUGAAGUUGCACAGACCCAUACAGAUUCACCACCUGGGACCUUCCAUUGGAAACCUUACACAGCUUCUCACAAUGCCAUGCACUGACUUCCCUGUCUAUCCAGCCUACUGCGGACCCAAGUAUUCCUGUUGCCAGUUAGGAGGGAUGAGUAAUGGAGACUCCAGCCCUCAGAGACCUUGAUCAAGUAAAGCAAAAUUCCCUUCCUCUGCUUUCUUUGCAAGUGGCUAAACCCUUAGUCACUCUGGGAUAAAAAGUAAACUGAAAACUUGAAAAAGUCUCAAGACAGAAUCUAACUCCAUCUCUGCCCCAGAUAAAAAGCAAGAUCUUAAGCCAAAUUAAAUGAACUAAUAAAAAUCAGUCCUAUUCAAGUGCCCAAUUAAUUUAAACAUGAAGCUUGUCAGUUUCCAGCUUCACUGAUUUUAAUCCAGCAACCCUCACUAUAGAGGUCUUCUUUUAACCUGCUCUGUUUGGAGGUUUUGCUUGCUGGGAGCACCUGAGCAGCCAGUAGGAGGAAAGAGAGCAGGGUGAGGCUACAGAUCCUCAUGGCUGCAGCUGGGCGGGCACCUGUUUGACAAAAGGCAGGUCAAGGAACGAAUCACAAUAGCAGCAAGGCCAAAACAACAAAGAGAUUUGCCCAUAUAGCAAUAUUGGGAGUCAUGGUUUGCCAUGGGGAGAUAACCUACACCUAGCUGCCAACCAUUAGAGAUGGGUCUGUCCAAAUUUGGAAUCAAAUGGGUGAGUAUCUUCAGAGGGUCCCAAUGCUCAGGGGCCCAGCAGUCAAUAUCAGCCCCUGAUGGACUGUUCAAGGAGGACCUCACUUGCCCAGGACUUUGUCCACCAGAGUAAGGGAAGAUUUGUUACAAGAAGAAAGUUGUGCCUGGGCCUGAAUGCCCGCUCCUCAAUGCUCUGGGGUGAGCCCUGUCUACGGUCUUGGCAGGCAGAUCAUCAGUCUGGGUGCCCUCAAAGCACCCUAGGGACAUCCACUCCCUGCUCCUGCUUUCUCCAGGAAGUCUUUACUGUGCUAAUUAGUGCAAAUUGCCUGCUUAACCUCACAUCUGCCUGGUCAAUAGGUCUAAUAAGGUAUGCACUUGGGACCUCUCUCACUCCCAAUGGUACUACCUGUGCAAGGCUAGAUCUGCUGUCCUUCCCUCAGCACAGUUUAGGCUAGAAAACCGUGAAAGGGCACAACAGAGGUGGCACAAGGCAGUCAGUAGCAGGCAGAGCACAGGCACCCCACCAGCUGGCAGUGCCCUCCCAGGUAGAGCUUGCUGGUUGGCACAGUCAGUUAAUGAGCCAAGAGCAGUGGGAGGCACAGUCCAUAUGGAACACUGAGUCACCUUGCUGGCUGCUUGACUGUCCCAAAAUGUACC